rnacentral:rRNA from 1 species
UUACACAUGCAAGUCGAGGGGUAACAUUUUAGCUUGCUAAAGAUGACGACCGGCGAACGGGUGCGUAACGCGUAUAGAAUCUACCUCUUACUAAGGGAUAGCCCAGAGAAAUUUGGAUUAAUACCUUAUAGUAUGCAGACUUGGCAUCAAGACUGCAUUAAAGAUUACGGUAGGAGAUGACUAUGCGUCCUAUUAGCUAGAUGGUGUGGUAACGGCACACCAUGGCAACGAUAGGUAGGGGCCCUGAGAGGGGGAUCCCCCACACUGGUACUGAGACACGGACCAGACUCCUACGGGAGGCAGCAGUGAGGAAUAUUGGACAAUGGAGGCAACUCUGAUCCAGCCAUGCCGCGUGCAGGAAGACUGCCCUAUGGGUUGUAAACUGCUUUUAUACAGGAAGAAACACUGCUACGUGUAGCAGCUUGACGGUACUGUAAGAAUAAGGAUCGGCUAACUCCGUGCCAGCAGCCGCGGUAAUACGGAGGAUCCAAGCGUUAUCCGGAAUCAUUGGGUUUAAAGGGUCCGUAGGUGGAUAAUUAAGUCAGAGGUGAAAUCCUGCAGCUCAACUGUAGAAUUGCCUUUGAUACUGGUUAUCUUGAGUUAUUAUGAAGUAGUUAGAAUAUGUAGUGUAGCGGUGAAAUGCAUAGAUAUUACAUAAAAUACCAAUUGCGAAGGCAGAUUACUAAUAAUAUACUGACACUGAUGGACGAAAGCGUGGGGAGCGAACAGGAUUAGAUACCCUGGUAGUCCACGCCGUAAACGAUGGUCACUAGCUGUUCGAACUUCU